GUCGAGCGAUGAAGCACCUUCGGGUGUGAAUUAGCGGCGAACGGGUGAGGAACACGUGAAGAAUCUGCCUUCAACUCUGGGAUAACUCCGGGAAACCGGGGCUAAUACCGGAUAUGAGCCUUGAUCGCAUGAUCGGGGCUGGAAAGUUUUUCGGUUGAAGAUGACUUCGCGGCCUAUCAGCUUGUUGGUGAGGUAAUGGCUCACCAAGGCGACGACGGGUAGCCGGCCUGAGAGGGCGACCGGCCACACUGGGACUGAGACACGGCCCAGACUCCUACGGGAGGCAGCAGUGGGGAAUAUUGGGCAAUGGAGGAAACUCUGACCCAGCGACGCCGCGUGAGGGAUGAAGGCCUUCGGGUUGUAAACCUCUUUCAGUAGGGAAGAAGCGAAAGUGACGGUACCUACAGAAGAAGCACCGGCUAACUAUGUGCCAGCAGCCGCGGUAAUACAUAGGGUGCAAGCGUUGUCCGGAGUUAUUGGGCGUAAAGAGCUCGUAGGUGGUUCGUCACGUCGGAUGUGAAACUCUGGGGCUUAACUCCAGACCUGCAUUCGAUACGGGCGAGCUUGAGUAUGGUAGGGGAGUCUGGAAUUCCUGGUGUAGCGGUGGAAUGCGCAGAUAUCAGGAGGAACACCAAUGGCGAAGGCAGGACUCUGGGCCAUUACUGACACUGAGGAGCGAAAGCGUGGGGAGCGAACAGGAUUAGAUACCCUGGUAGUCCACGCCGUAAACGGUGGGCACUAGUUGUGGGGACCUUCCACGGUCUCUGCGACGCAGCUAACGCAUUAAGUGCCCCGCCUGGGGAGUACGAUCGCAAGAUUAAAACUCAAAGGAAUU
rnacentral:rRNA from 1 species